GUGGGGAAUAUUGCACAAUGGGCGCAAGCCUGAUGCAGCAACGCCGCGUGAGGGAUGACGGCCUUCGGGUUGUAAACCUCUUUUAGUAGGGAAGAAGCGAAAGUGACGGUACCUGCAGAAAAAGCACCGGCUAACUACGUGCCAGCAGCCGCGGUAAUACGUAGGGUGCAAGCGUUGUCCGGAAUUAUUGGGCGUAAAGAGCUCGUAGGCGGCUUGUCGCGUCUGCUGUGAAAUCCCGGGGCUCAACCCCGGGCCUGCAGUGGGUACGGGCAGGCUAGAGUGCGGUAGGGGAGAUUGGAAUUCCUGGUGUAGCGGUGGAAUGCGCAGAUAUCAGGAGGAACACCGAUGGCGAAGGCAGAUCUCUGGGCCGCUACUGACGCUGAGGAGCGAAAGCAUGGGGAGCGAACAGGAUUAGAAACCCCGGUAGUCC
rnacentral:rRNA from 1 species